CCUACGGGGGGCAGCAGUGGGGAAUAUUGGACAAUGGGGGAAACCCUGAUCCAGCGACGCCGCGUGAGUGAAGAAGUAUUUCGGUACGUAAAGCUCUAUCAGCAGGAAAGAAAAUGACGGUACCUGACUAAGAAGCCCCGGCUAACUACGUGCCAGCAGCCGCGGUAAUACGUAGGGGGCAAGCGUUAUCCGGAUUUACUGGGUGUAAAUGGAGCGUAGACGGCAGCGCAAGCCUGGAGUGAAAUGCCGGGGCCCAACCCCGGGACUGCUCUGGGAACUGGGAGGCUGGAGUGCAGGAGGGGCAGGCGGAAUUCCUGGUGUAGCGGUGAAAUGCGUAGAUAUCAGGAGGAACACCGGCGGCGAAGGCGGCCUGCUGGACUGUCACUGACGUUGAGGCGCGAAGGCGUGGGGAGCAAACAGGAUUAGAUACCCUUGUAGUC
rnacentral:rRNA from 1 species